GAUGAACGCUGGCGGCGUGCCUAAUACAUGCAAGUCGAGCGAAUGGAUUAAGAGCUUGCUCUUAUGAAGUUAGCGGCGGACGGGUGAGUAACACGUGGGUAACCUGCCCAUAAGACUGGGAUAACUCCGGGAAACCGGGGCUAAUACCGGAUAACAUUUUGAACCGCAUGGUUCGAAAUUGAAAGGCGGCUUCGGCUGUCACUUAUGGAUGGACCCGCGUCGCAUUAGCUAGUUGGUGAGGUAACGGCUCACCAAGGCAACGAUGCGUAGCCGACCUGAGAGGGUGAGCGGCCACACGGGGACAGGGACACGGCCCAGACCCCUACGGGAGGCAGCAGUAGGGAAUCUUCCGCAAUGGACGAAAGUCUGACGGAGCAACGCCGCGUGAGUGAUGAAGGCUUUCGGGUCGUAAAACUCUGUUGUUAGGGAAGAACAAGUGCUAGUUGAAUAAGCUGGCACCUUGACGGUACCUAACCAGAAAGCCACGGCUAACUACGUGCCAGCCGCCGCGGUAA
rnacentral:rRNA from 1 species